UGGACCAGAGCUGGUAGUCAGCAGCUCCUGUAACCUUCUGGGGUUUGGAAUGAUAUUCAAGGUGGCUACAUCCAAAGAUGAGAAGCCAUGACUAAAGACAAGCAUGAGCCUCGGACUUCCCAAUGCCUGUCAGACUGCUCCAAAGCACUGGAUUUCCAGCAAAGAGCUGCUUCCUCAACCUGCCUUCUUCUCCAUCCAAGGAAGCCUUGCUUUGAGCACAGGUUGAAUACCUGCAGCAUCCUCCAACCCCUUUGGUCUUAUCUAUGGGUUGCCCAGUGUAGCCCCCAUAGAGGCCUUCACCAAAGAAAGAAUGUUUAGUUGUUCUAUAGGAGAAGAUUUGCAGGUGUGGUCGACCAGAAGGACAAAAAUAAGAUCCUAUCAGUACAGAGGGAUCAAAGACGGAGCCAGAUGGAGGCCAGGAGGAGUCCGUACAGCAAGAAAGACAAGAACACAGAGAAGAAAGGAACAAGAAGGAAACCUGGAAGGGAGCACCAAACUGUGCAGUGCUACAUGGGUCAGAUAGAGCUAGCCCACUUUCAAGUGGGCUAACCUGGAGAGUGCAAAGCUGAGAAGGUAACCAAGACAUAUAAAAUUGAUGGGCAGAAAAACAGACUUCCCUGCUGAGUAUCCUGUAAGGGGUAAAUGAAGACCAGCCCUGCAAGACCUGCAGACAUAGGACCACAGCUUCUGAGACCUCUAAAUGAUCAGCCUUAACCCACCAUGUCCAAAGAAGAGCAUCAUCUCCAUCAUCCAGCCCGGAUUUGUUUGUAGCUGAAACGCACUGUUGUUUGCAUCCAGACCAUGUAAACUCCAAGAGCAGCAAUACCAUUUGUUCCUGACCAAGUAUGGAGAACCAGGAGAUGAGAUAGGGAAGGAGUGGGGACAGUCAACCAUAAAAUGCCAUCUGUUUCUGACCGAGUACAAAGUACAGGGGGAUAAAAGAGAGGAAGAGCAAGAAUAUUCAGGCAUUCACUGGCUUUAGGUGUUGGGCAAACAUCAGUCACACGGAAGAUGUAGGAGGACCGGUCACCUCUGUCACCUGCAACCUACUCCAGGAGAUAUCUGAUUUCCCUGCUGACUGUCCUGCAGAAGGUGACAUGGAACAAUUCAUCAGGAUGGAGCAUUCAGGCAGACUGGCUGGUCACAGCGGAUGUCAGACAGCUGGGACUCCACAUUGGUGAUCAUGCAUUGCAUCUGGGACAGCUGGGAGGUAAAGCGGCCCUCUGUCUCCCCCAGCGUGUUUUCCAGGGAGUCUCUCUGAGGCAAGGGAAAGACAUACCUGUGAAGAAGCAGCUGCUUUCUGUGGCCUGGCUCAGAGAGACCCAAGAAGAGCCAAGUCUCUUGGCUCCUCUCUUCUAAGCCACUGUGGACACAGAAGUCCAGAGACAGAUCAAGUUAUCUGCUCCAGGUUAAGCAUCCACAUCCUGGUUAGGUCCACGGGAGGUGCAGCAUCUACCUCAAUGUUAAGGCGGUCCCCAAGCUGUUGUCGAAGGACACCAACUUCCUGAAAAGACACAAGACCCCAGGUAUGAGAAAUACAUAAAAUAUAAUAAGAGAUACAGAAGAGCACAGAAUUGGAGGGGGUGAGGGGCAGGGCUUCAGGGACCGAAGCCAACACUGCAGAGCCUCAGUGGUCUUCCAGCUCUAGAUAAACAUCCCUGGUGACACUUUUUGUCACUUGGCAGAAGCCAAGUUCAAAGACAUUUUUUUAUCCAUUUGGACUAAGAUGGGAAACCCAUGUACCCCCACCCCCAUUUCCUCAUCAUGACACCAGUCCUAACCAUCAAGGAAGGAGGGUCACAGAGCCUGACUUUACUUGGUCCAAGGUCCAAAUGAGAACAGGUCCCUCCCUAGGCUUGUCUGCCAGUGAGAGAAAGUUGUCACAGCAGCUGCCCAGGUAUGUGAUAAUGCCUCAUUAGUGACUUCUUGGUGCAGUUCCCAACUCUCUGGUUUAAGUUGGAUGAGUCAGGUGCCCCAGGGCAUGCAGGGAGUGCAUGGUGACUGGUUGGUAUUUUAUAUUCAAGUCUAAGGAAGCCUAGCCAGAAUCCAGAGAGACACUUGUCCAUUCAAAUCCCAAGUGAAAGGUGUGUGAGUCAAUCCAGAGAAGGAAGACCAAAGCACCAUAGAGCAAAUGGUCUUUGCUGCACAGGGGCCCCUGUGAAAAAUGGGGAAAGAAACAGUAUCUAUGAUAUAUAUGUGUAUAUACAUAUAUAUCAUACAGAUGGAAGAAACAAGAGGUGGGCAANNNNNNNNNNNAAUGGGGAUAGAACUGAGAUGGAAAACACCCAAGUCUAACUCUUAGAAGAGGAGGGUCUCACCCAGUAGCAGCCUGACAAAGACAGACAGACUCUGUGUACAUUCUAGAAUGUAAACAUCCUAGGGCCCCACUGUACCACUCUCCCUCUAGGAUGAGGCCCUUACC
ensembl:antisense Gm11571 predicted gene 11571